GAUGAACGCUGGCGGCGUGCCUAAUACAUGCAAGUCGAGCGAACGGACGAGAAGCUUGCUUCUCUGAUGUUAGCGGCGGACGGGUGAGUAACACGUGGAUAACCUACCUAUAAGACUGGGAUAACUUCGGGAAACCGGAGCUAAUACCGGAUAAUAUUUUGAACCGCAUGGUUCAAAAGUGAAAGACGGUCUUGCUGUAACUUAUAGAUGGAUCCGCGCUGCAUUAGCGAGUUGGUAAGGUAACGGCUUACCAAGGCAACGAUGCAUAGCCGACCUGAGAGGGUGAUCGGCCACACUGGAACUGAGACACGGUCCAGACUCCUACGGGAGGCAGCAGUAGGGAAUCUUCCGCAAUGGGCGAAAGCCUGACGGAGCAACGCCGCGUGAGUGAUGAAGGUCUUCGGAUCGUAAAACUCUGUUAUUAGGGAAGAACAUAUGUGUAAGUAACUGUGCACAUCUUGACGGUACCUAAUCAGAAAGCCACGGCUAACUACGUG
rnacentral:rRNA from 1 species